UUUGUUUGUUUGUUUUCGAGACAGAGUUUCUCUGUGUAGCUUCGGAGACUAUCCUGGAACUCUCUCUGUAGACCAGGCUGGCCUCGAACUCACAGAGAUCCUCCUGCCUCUGCCUCCUGAGUGCUGGGAUGAAAGGCGUGCGCUACCACCUUUGGGCUAUUUGUUUUUAAGGUGUACACAGCCUGAGUGCCUUUUUCUAUGGCCCCGUGACUCUAAUUUACUAAAUAUGACGUAAGUGACUCCGUACUGAAUAACUUUCACUGCUGUCAGCAGAUACCAAACUGCUGGCACUUUGAAGACUUCUGGCCUCCAGCACUGUGAGCAGGUAAUUUCUUCCUAAGUCUCCCCACUUGCUGGCCCAACACUGCAUGCCUUGUUUGCCCACACCCAACUCAGGAGGCCAGAGGGGUGCGAUGACCACAGAUCUCUGCUGCACUCCCCUCCACAGGAGACUUGGGAGGGGAGAGAACACCCACCUCUUCUCUCAUUGACUGGAAAUUCUUCCGAUUCAGGGCCAGUGAGAUGGCUCAGCAGAAAAACUGGUUCCUGAGCCUCCCCUCGUGGAGGAAUUCCUCAAGGGCUGGCUGAAGAGAAGUCUGCACUGGUCUCCCAAUCCCUCUGCCUGUCAAUGUGGACUUGCACUGUUUUCAGGAUUCUUCUUCUGUGUGUAAUCUGUUCCUGCUUCCCACACUAACUCCUGCUGAUGGCUACAGACGUGACAAUGUGAUUCUAGAACAUCCUCAGCCUUCUGGUCAAUGUGAGCCCUGCCUGAUCACAGCGAAGGAGAGAACUGGCUUCUUUGCUAUAAUGUCUAUUUCUAUUACUGAACUAUAAAGAAGAAGGAAAGAGGGAGAAAAAGACUCUUAAGUGACUUACAGGGAAAUCUGCCUUUGAGGCUGAGAGCUUCCUGGAACAUGCUCACACUCACCCCAGCAUUCUCUGGUCUCUGAUGCCUUCCCAUGCCACCCCAACAGUGCCUGAGGCUACUUGAGACUGGAGCUGUUUAAUCCUGUGUAAGUUUUGGAGCAACUAUCAGGCAUUUUCGGGCUGUACUUUUAACAUCUGGCUGGCAGGAAAAUGAGAGCCGGUUCACAGGCACACUUCUGCUAGUCCUCUGCGGCAUCUAUGUGUAUUCAUAAUAGAUGUUUAAGGUCAGACUGGAGUGGGCAAAGGCCGUUGUGGUGCAUUGAGGGACAGAUACCUUUUGGGGAUUGCUCAGAGAGUUCUAAGGGAAGGUUCUUGUGAGGCUUGAUCUUGUGAGAUAUAUAUGAGAGCAUCUGAAAUGAACAUCAGGCUGGGAGAAUGAAGCAUGGGCAAAUCCUGAGGGCUGAGCACAAAAAGGGGAAGAGAAAGAAAUAGCUCCAAACUCUGUUCUGAGGUAGAGGGGAAGACCAGGGACGGGGUGUCUACCAAGGACUCACAUACCCUUUUCACUGGUAACGGGUUCUGAGGGCCCCUCAUCCACCCCCAACAAAUGAGUAACAAAUUCUGAGGACCUGUCACCCACCCAACAAAUGGCAACAGAUUCUGGCAAUGCAGGACAUGCUGAAGAUUCUAGCCUCCAGCUCAUCAUUUCUCAACCACCCCUGAAGACCAGUGCUUAAUGGCCAGCAAAAUAAUUAAUGAUCUUAUUGGACUUGGUGAGUUGUAACAUCCCUCUUGUCCUUUGAGCCUUAUAGGAGUUAUUUGUUUUAGAGCAAAGAUAUUAAAUUCAUGCUUGGGAGUAUUAAAAGGAGAAGACAAACGGCCUUGGAGGAAAUAAACGACUUCUCAAGGAACAUUUUUCUUGAGCUGUUCCAACAUCUCAUCGUCUAUAAAUGUUUUGGGGUUUGAA